rnacentral:lncRNA from 1 species
GAAAGGAAUGGUUCAAGGAGGCAACAGGGGGCGGCGGGGGGCUUGGGCCCUCAUCGCCCUGGCAAUGCCUCAGGCCCAGCCCUCAUCCCCAGUUCCGUCAGCGCUCUCUCAUGCCUUCAGAGAAACCAGGGCUGGGAUGGGCCACACAGCAAACCACCCCUCCCCCACUUCCCAUGCAGCUACUUGGCCCCCAGACCUUGUCCUCCCAUCAUUCUCCUCAUACUCCUUUUCGGUGACCCCCUCAUGUAGAAAGGGUUUGGCUGCAAUGCGAAGGAUCGCUCUGCAGGAUCUUUGGGGCCCCAUCUCCAGGCGAUUCCUGUGUGGCAGGUGUCUGAGGGGGCUCAGGAGCCUGGAGGUUUGGGAUCAUGAAGAGCCUCGGAUAAUGGGGUUCAGUCCUGCCACCAUGUUCACGGCUGGAAGGAAGUCCUGUAAUUGAAAAGUGAGCCUUACCUCUGAUCUCCUAGGAAGACCUGGGGACUGGAUUUCUUUGUGGGACAGUCCCCCCCUCCCCCGUGGUUUCACAAUUCCUAUGUCAUCCUCAGUGAGCACUUUUGGCCUCUCUUUUGGGAGGACCAGGGCGGCGAGAGCUCUCAGCCUCUGCUGUCCCAGCCUGGGAAUGCCUGGGUGGGUGAGGACUCUCCUCUGCCAUUGAACUCAACCUCGGCUGUCAUCUGCCUGGCUGUCAGCACUGACCUGGGCAUCCUGCCUCUUGGUCCAGCCAGGUCCCUCACAGAGAGGGUCCACACAGAUACCAGUCAUGCACCCUCCUGGGGGCAGAGCCUUUGGAAGUCACCAUUGUAAGUUCCACCCUGUUCUCCAAAAUUUUGUAGAAGGGUUUGUCCUAAGUUUCUACAGUGGCUCCCUUGCCCCUUCCAGCCCCAGCUUCUCAAUUGCUGAAGUCUUGGCAAAUAUUUGGGAACCAUACACACACACACCAAAGAAACGGCUUUCAAUGGCAGUCCUGGGACCUCCCCUGGGUCUAGAACCCCUGGCUGAGGGACCUGUGGUACUGGGCCAAAGUCCUGGGCUUAAGCCAAGAGGACUGGAUUGACUACCACUUCCUGCCUUGGGCAAGUUCUUUCAUUUUCCCCCUGAGCCUCUGUUUCUCCAUAUGUAAAAUGGGGCGAAUGCCAACUUAGUUUAUGUGAGGCCCCCAAGCAGCAGAGGCCAGGAAAUGUCCUCCCUUCCCUCCUCUCCCACCAUGGGGAUCCUAGGUGCUGUUUAGGUGGGCUCCAAGGGAGAGCUGUUCCUGAUCUGUCACCAUCCUUCCUGGCUGAUUCUCUGGCUUCCUGUCAAUAAAAAUAGCAACUGCUUGUGGGGAGUCUGGGAU